CAGAAAAGUUCCCGCCAGAAAGUUCGCAUUCCGGAGGUGACAGCCGCGCAGCACAGCCGUCGGCAUUUUGAGAUCACCCUUUGCCUGAUGCCGCUGUUUCCAGGUUGCUUUGAAGGACACAAGCAUGAAGAAAUGAAGACUUGUCCAACAGAUCAUCCUUUUGGCCGAUGUCACCAUUUCCAGUUUACUUUGAAGCAAGCAAGCUCAAGAAAAGAAGACAGCUUGUCAAAUAG